GAUGACCUUGCUCAAGAAGGAGGAGAGAGAAUUUCAGGUUCUGCAGAUAAGAAAGCUUCCUUCUGAGAUUAGAAACAACACUGCCUGAGGAACUGCUGACAACAGUGGUAAAAUGGUGUUUGCCCUUGAAGUUCAGAUCAAGCCCAUAUUCCUGAGAGGGCCCCGUUCUUCCCCAACCAAGCAGUGUCUCAAGCCCUAUUUGUUGAAGACUCCUCAAGUCUCGUUCAGAAAACAUUAUUUCCUCAGAAGACAUUCUACAUGGUUUAUAUCAACAAACAUGUGGUGGCUUAUGCAAGGUAUGAGUGGCAUCAUCUCCACAGGAACUAAGACCUGUGUAAGAAAUGUCCGUGUUGUGUGUGUUAUUUAUUUUGGAUGUUCUACUUGAGGUGUUAUGGACCCAGCAUUUGGGACCAUUUGGCAUUGUUUGGCACUUUCUCGAAUCAAAAACCAGUAACCCAAGGCAAGCCUGGUGGGAAGGGUUCAUUCUCAAAUUCUUUCUGGGACUGAAAACACAGAAAAAAAAGGGUUCCUAGUCUCAGUUCUCCUGCCUUCACCCAGGACAGUCAAGAGAGUAGAGGAACUGCAUUUAAAUAGAAGGGUUUAAACAGCUCUAAGCUGGACCACAUUUUUAGAAAAUUAAGGUAAAAGGUGUUAGCAUAUCUCUAUUGAGCAUAUGCAACAUAUAUUUUUUCAGAUGUUUGUAACUUGAAAAUAGGAAAAGGUACGUUGCAUGCCAAACUGCAGUUCUUUCCUCAUGAUGUUGAUGACAUUGCAACCUUUACAUAAUUUUCAAUGUGAAAAACUCUCUUUGUCCCAUAGUGUUAUUCUGCAGUGCCUGAUCUCCCACAGCUGACAUGAAGAGAAAUACACUUCUCUCUACCCAAAGCCCCUGAUUAAAUCAAACUGAAGUUGGAGAAUGAAAAAUUUCAGACCAUCUGUUCAAAGUUAUAAACAAUUGAAACCAAGGUAUUUUUCUGGCCUGAGCAAUCAAGCAUAUCUACAAUAAUUAGAUUUAGUUAUGUUUCUUUAAGCCAUGUUCUUUUUUAUUCCCAUACAAAUACAUUUGUUAUCUAGAGCUCCAAAUACACUGGAAAAGGCAAAACAAACACAAAAAUUCUCUUCCUGCAAAGAUGAACAGGAAGAAAAUACGCUUCCAGAGUCAGAAACAAGGGUACUGUUCACAGGGAGAAAAAGUACCAUAGCUGCAUCUGCUUACAAAAAUUACACUCAGAUGACAGUGGGGUUUGUUGCCACCCUUGGCAGCAAAUUACUUUCAUUCCCCAUCCAUAGCUCUUUGACAUGAUCAAAGGAGUUAACAGCACAGAGUAUCCAAACCCUCCUAAGGGAAAAAAAAAAAAGGUUGUAUUUUCAAUCUUUUGUGGUUUUUACAUUUUUGACAUAUUUGUGGAUAUUACUGCAUAACAGGUGACCUGCAGAGGAGUUACGUUCAUUUAAAUGCUUCUACCAACUUAGCAGCUUCACCCUCGCAGUCAACAAACCUCAAACCCCAUUUUCAUUUGAGAAAACCUUCCAGAGUGAGGGUGAUUCCCUAAUUAGCCACAUCCUCCAUGUAUCACCAUUAGAUAACACAAGGAAAUGUGUUCACGGCUUGCUGCUUCAUCGAGCUGCUGUAGUGAUUCAUUCCACAUCAACUAGCACUGGGAGAGCAGAAACGCCCAGGCUGACAGCAGGGAUGUGAAGAGAGCACCAUUCUCAUAAGAUUUUUUCCCCACAGCGUCUCCCCCAUUGUUUUUUCACAGAUGAAGGUUUGCCCUGUACUGCCCCAAGGAGCUUGCCCUCCAUUUAUCUCCUAGAGUAGAAGAUCUUUGUGGGUCAGUUGUCCAAAACGUGUCAAAAUGUGUGUUUCUCGAUCCUGCUCCCAGCUGCCACCUCAUAGGGGGAUCAACUGGAUGCCAGUGUCUCUCUGGAGCAAUAACAUUCAGUUCCCAUGAAGUCCUGCUCCUGGAGACUGGAGGACUCUUGAUCAAAUUCUUGCAGUCACAGGACUCUGCUUACAAGAAGAGACGCUGGGGCAUGGUGCCCUGCUCUGAGCACCACACAUGCCACGAUGACUGAUCAUUCUUUGUGGGAUCCUCCAUUCAACUAUGGCUGUCUGAACACUGGCUGCAUCGUCCCAGCGCAGGGCCUGGAUUUCUUCCCUGGCCAGGGAACAACAGCCACAUGCAUGCAUCUCCAGAAGCCAUUUUAUCUGUCCUGUUUCAGACACAACUGCACAGGAAACGUAAGAAACCAUUUUUUGAUCAGAUCAAGCUCUUAGAAUGCUGUACUUGAGAAA